UGAUGUUGUGGCAGGCUUAUGCAAUGUAUGAUCAUAUAAUGUAACUAAACCCCCAUUAUUUUUGCCUAGAUUUUAAAAAAACAAAUCAAAUCUUUCAACAUUGAAGUUGCCGUUUGGUGGAUAGGUGAGUGCGUUGGAUAUUGUGUUAUAUAUAUAUAUAUAUAUAUAUAUAUAUAUAUAUAUAUUUAUUUAUUUUAUUUGGGGUAGCCCCCAAAAUAUUGGGACAUAUAAAAAAGACAACUCUGUUCCGCACAGGCACUUUGUUGACUCUAGAGAACCUCGGGCCAAUCGCACAUCCUCGUGGCGGCGACUUUGCAUGCGGAUGUCAUCCAUAUCAACUUUCGAUGCCAGUUUCUGCACCUACCAUGGUGACCACGGGUAACGGGGAAUCAGGGUUCCAUUCUGUACAGGGACCCUGAGAAACGGCUACCACAUGCAAGGAAGGCAGCAGGCGUGCAAAUGACCCACUCCCGAUGAGGGAAGGUAGUGACGACAAAUAACAAUACAGGACUCUUUAGAGGCCCUGUAAUUGUAAUGAGUCCACUUGAAAUCCUUUAACUCUGAUCAAUUGGAGGGAAGUCUGGUACAGAGCCACUGACCCGUGCGUGCUGCAGCUGAAACUCCACUAUCG